UUGGAGGCUGAAACUCGCCUCCAUNAAGUUGGAUUCGCUAGUAAUCGCGCAUCAGCCAUGGCGCGGUGAAUACGUUCCCGGGCCUUGUACACACCGCCCGUCAAGCCAUGGGAGUUGGGGGUGCCUGAAGUACGUGACCGCAAGGAGCGUCCUAGGGCAAAACCGAUGACUGGGGCUAAGUCGUAACAAGGUAAC
rnacentral:rRNA from 1 species